rnacentral:rRNA from 1 species
GAUGAACGCUGGCGGCGUGCCUAAUACAUGCAAGUCGAGCGAACGGACGAGAAGCUUGCUCCUCUGAUGUUAGCGGCGGACGGACGAGUAACACGUGGAUAACCUACCUAUAAUACUGGGAUAACUUCGGGAAACCGUAGCUAAUACCGCAUCAUAUUUUGUACCGCAUGGUUCAAAAGUGAAAGACGGUCUUGCUGUCACUUAGAGAUGGAUCCGCGUUGCAUUAGCUAGUUGGUAAGGUAACGGCUCACCAAGGCAACGAUGCAUAGCCGACCUGAGAGGGUGAUCGGCCACACUGGAACUGAGACACGGUCCAGACUCCUACGGGAGGCAGCAGUAGGGAAUAUUCGACAAUGGGCGUAAGCCUGAUGCAGCAAUGCCGCGUGAGUGAUGAAGGUCUUCGGAUCGUAAAACCCUGUUAUUAGGGAAGAACAUCUGUGUAUGAAACCGUGGACAUCUUGACGGUACCUAAUGAGAAAGCACCGGCUAACUACGUG